AGAGCCUGAAUCAGCAUGUGUGUUAGUGGAAGCGUCUGGAAAGUCGCGCGAUACAGGGUGACAGCCCCGUACACAAAAGCGCAUGUGUUGUGAGCUCGAUGAGUAGGGCGGGACACGUGGUAUCCUGUCUGAAUAUGGGGGGACCAUCCUCCAAGGCUAAAUACUCCUGACUGACCGAUAGUGAACCAGUACCGUGAGGGAAAGGCGAAAAGAACCCCGGCGAGGGGAGUGAAAAAGAACCUGAAACCGUGUACGUACAAGCAGUGGGAGCACCCUUCGGGGUGUGACUGCGUACCUUUUGUAUAAUGGGUCAGCGACUUAUAUUCUGUAGCAAGGUUAACCGAAUAGGGGAGCCGGAGGGAAACCGAGUCUUAAUUGGGCGUUAAGUUGCAGGGUAUAGACCCGAAACCCGGUGAUCUAGCCAUGGGCAGGUUGAAGGUUGGGUAACACUAACUGGAGGACCGAACCGACUAAUGUUGAAAAAUUAGCGGAUGACCUGUGGCUGGGGGUGAAAGGCCAAUCAAACCGGGAGAUAGCUGGUUCUCCCCGAAAGCUAUUUAGGUAGCGCCUCGUGAAUUCAUCUCCGGGGGUAGAGCACUGUUUCGGCUAGGGGGCCAUCCCGGCUUACCAACCCGAUGCAAACUGCGAAUACCGGAGAAUGUUAUCACGGGAGACACACGGCGGGUGCUAACGUCCGUCGUGAAGAGGGAAACAACCCAGACCGCCAGCUAAGGUCCCAAAGUCAUGGUUAAGUGGGAAACGAUGUGGGAAGGCCCAGACAGCCAGGAUGUUGGCUUAGAAGCAGCCAUCAUUUAAAGAAAGCGUAAUAGCUCACUGGUCGAGUCGGCCUGCGCGGAAGAUGUAACGGGGCUAAACCAUGCACCGAAGCUGCGGCAGCGACACUGUGUGUUGUUGGGUAGGGGAGCGUUCUGUAAGCCUGUGAAGGUGUGUCGUGAGGCAUGCUGGAGGUAUCAGAAGUGCGAAUGCUGACAUAAGUAACGAUAAAGCGGGUGAAAAGCCCGCUCGCCGGAAGACCAAGGGUUCCUGUCCAACGUUAAUCGGGGCAGGGUGAGUCGACCCCUAAGGCGAGGCCGAAAGGCGUAGUCGAUGGGAAACGGGUUAAUAUUCCCGUACUUGGUGUUACUGCGAAGGGGGGACGGAGAAGGCUAUGUUGGCCGGGCGACGGUUGUCCCGGUUUAAGCGUGUAGGUGUGUGUUCCAGGUAAAUCCGGUUCACUUUAACACUGAGGCGUGACGACGAGGCACUACGGUGCUGAAGCAACAAAUGCCCUGCUUCCAGGAAAAGCCUCUAAGCAUCAGGUAACAUCAAAUCGUACCCCAAACCGACACAGGUGGUCAGGUAGAGAAUACCAAGGCGCUUGAGAGAACUCGGGUGAAGGAACUAGGCAAAAUGGUGCCGUAACUUCGGGAGAAGGCACGCUGACACGUAGGUGAAGUGAUUUACUCAUGGAGCUGAAGUCAGUCGAAGAUACCAGCUGGCUGCAACUGUUUAUUAAAAACACAGCACUGUGCAAACACGAAAGUGGACGUAUACGGUGUGACGCCUGCCCGGUGCCGGAAGGUUAAUUGAUGGGGUCAGCGCAAGCGAAGCUCCUGAUCGAAGCCCCGGUAAACGGCGGCCGUAACUAUAACGGUCCUAAGGUAGCGAAAUUCCUUGUCGGGUAAGUUCCGACCUGCACGAAUGGCGUAAUGAUGGCCAGGCUGUCUCCACCCGAGACUCAGUGAAAUUGAACUCGCUGUGAAGAUGCAGUGUACCCGCGGCAAGACGGAAAGACCCCGUGAACCUUUACUAUAGCUUGACACUGAACAUUGAGCCUUGAUGUGUAGGAUAGGUGGGAGGCUUUGAAGCGUGGACGCCAGUCUGCGUGGAGCCGACCUUGAAAUACCACCCUUUAAUGUUUGAUGUUCUAACGUGGACCCGUGAUCCGGGUUGCGGACAGUGUCUGGUGGGUAGUUUGACUGGGGCGGUCUCCUCCUAAAGAGUAACGGAGGAGCACGAAGGUUGGCUAAUCCUGGUCGGACAUCAGGAGGUUAGUGCAAUGGCAUAAGCCAGCUUGACUGCGAGCGUGACGGCGCGAGCAGGUGCGAAAGCAGGUCAUAGUGAUCCGGUGGUUCUGAAUGGAAGGGCCAUCGCUCAACGGAUAAAAGGUACUCCGGGGAUAACAGGCUGAUACCGCCCAAGAGUUCAUAUCGACGGCGGUGUUUGGCACCUCGAUGUCGGCUCAUCACAUCCUGGGGCUGAAGUAGGUCCCAAGGGUAUGGCUGUUCGCCAUUUAAAGUGGUACGCGAGCUGGGUUUAGAACGUCGUGAGACAGUUCGGUCCCUAUCUGCCGUGGGCGCUGGAGAACUGAGGGGGGCUGCUCCUAGUACGAGAGGACCGGAGUGGACGCAUCACUGGUGUUCGGGUUGUCAUGCC
rnacentral:rRNA from 1 species